rnacentral:rRNA from 1 species
AACGAACGCUGGCGGCAUGCCUAACACAUGCAAGUCGAACGAGACCUUCGGGUCUAGUGGCGCACGGGUGCGUAACGCGUGGGAACCUGCCCUUAGGUUCGGGAUAACUCCCCGAAAGGGGUGCUAAUAUCGGAUAAUGUCUUCGGACCAAAGAUUUGACGCCGUUGGAUGGGCCCGCGUUGGAUUAGCCAGUUGGUAGGGUAAAAGCCUACCAAGGCGACGAUCCAUAGCUGGUCUGAGAGGAUGAUCAGCCACACUUGGACUGGGACACGGCCCAGACUCCUACGGGAGGCAGCAGUGGGGAAUAUUGGACAAUGGGCGAAAGGCUGAUCCAGCAAUGCCGCGUGAGUGAUGAAGGCCUUAGGGUUGUAAAGCUCUUUUACCCGGGAUGAUAAUGACAGUACCGGGAGAAUAAGCUCCGGCUAACUCCGUG